UACGGAGGGUGCAAGCGUUGUUCGGAAUUAUUGGGCGUAAAGAGCUCGUAGGCGGUUUGUUGCGUCGGCUGUGAAAUCCCGAGGCUCAACCUCGGGUCUGCAGUCGAUACGAGCAAACUAGAGUGUUGCAGGGGAGACUGGAAUUCCUGGUGUAGCGGUGAAAUGCGCAGAUAUCAGGAGGAACACCGGUGGCGAAGGCGGGUCUCUGGGCAACAACUGACGCUGAGGAGCGAAAGCGUGGGGAGCGAACAGG
rnacentral:rRNA from 1 species